AGUCAUGAUGGCUAUUCUCCUGGAAUAGUGAUUGUGAUGAGCGAUAUGGCCGUGUUCCCGCACGGCCAUAUCGCGCU
rfam:Salmonella enterica subsp. enterica serovar Typhi str. E01-6750, contig contig00756, whole genome shotgun sequence